rnacentral:rRNA from 1 species
AUGCAAGUCGAACGAGUCUCUGGGGGGUAACUCCUAGAGGAAAGUGGCGAAAGGGGCAGUAAUGUAUGGGUAACCUACCUUGAGGUCUGGGAUAGCCAUUCUAACGGAUGGGUAAUACUGGACGGCCUGAAUUGUCGGCAUCGAUGAUUUAGUAAAGGUUACGCCUCGAGAGGGGCCCAUAUGAUAUUAGCUAGUUGGUGAGGUAAUGGCUCACCAAGGCAAAGAUGUCUAGCGGGUGUGAGAGCACGACCCGCGUCACUGGCACUGAGACACUGGCCAGACUCCUACGGGAGGCUGCAGUCGAGGAUCUUCGGCAAUGGACGAAAGUCUGACCGAGCAACGCCGCGUGUGCGAUGAAGGCCUUCGGGUUGUAAAGCACUGUCGAGGGGAAACAAGCCGUAAGGUUGAGUGACCCCUGGAGGAAGCACGGGCUAAGUUCGUGCCAGCAGCCGCGGUAAGACGAACCGUGCAAACGUUAUUCGGAAUCACUGGGCUUAAAGGGCGCGUAGGCGGGUAAUCAAGUCAAUGGUGAAAUCCUCCAGCUUAACUGGAGAAGUGCCUUUGAUACUGGUUGUCUAGAGGGAGGUAGGGGCAUGUGGAACUUCAGGUGGAGCGGUGAAAUGCGUAGAUAUCUGAAGGAACGCCAGUGGCGAAAGCGAUGUGCUGGACCUCUUCUGACGCUGAGGCGCGAAAGCUAGGGGAUCAAACGGGAUUAGAUACCCCGGUAGUCCUAGCCCUAAACUAU